rnacentral:rRNA from 1 species
UCCAGACUCCUACGGGAGGCAGCAGUGGGGGAUAUUGCACAAUGGGGGAAACCCUGAUGCAGCGACGCCGCGUGGGUGAAGAAGCGCCUCGGCGCGUAAAGCCCUGUCAGCAGGGAAGAAAAUGACGGUACCUGCAAAGGAAGCACCGGCUAACUCCGUGCCAGCAGCCGCGGUAAUACGGAGGGUGCGAGCGUUAAUCGGAAUUACUGGGCGUAAAGCGCUCGUAGGCGGUAUGUCAAGUCAAGGGUGAAAUACCCGCGCUCAACGUGGGAACUGCCUUUGAAACUGGCAAACUGGAGUGUGUGAGAGGAUAGUGGAAUUCCAGGUGUAGGAGUGAAAUCCGUAGAUAUCUGGAGGAACAUCAGUGGCGAAGGCGACUAUCUGGCACAUAACUGACGCUGAGGAGCGAAAGCGUGGGUAGCAAACAGGAUUAGAUACCCGCGUAAG